AUUCAAUACAAAAUACAAAAUGGAGUCCACAAGAAUUGCUACUCUUACAAUGGUAUUUGUACUGGCUUUCUUCAUUAUUGCAUCAGAAGAGGGAAUCAAUGUGCAAGCUUGCAAAACAGAUGCAGAUUGUAAAUCUGGCUGUAAAGACAUUCCUAAAUGUCAGAGCGGACAAUGUUGGUGUUAUAAGACACGUCCCCCACAAGCUGAUACUAUUCCUAGUCAUUAAUAUUCCAAAUAUUGUAAUGCAAUCAUCGUUUUUGGGUGACAAUAAUAUGUCAAAAAUAAAUAUUCAUAACGAAAUAUGAUAUCUUAUUUACCAAUAAAA